GCAACCCAGUGGUGUACAUGUAAUAUACUACCCCUGAUAAUUUUUGCCCUUCCUUUGCCACCACUGCCACCACCUGCAGUGUAUGUGCUACCCAGCCCCCUGCACCCGUGCUCAUGUACCCCCUACCCUGCUGUGCCCACUGCAGUGUUCAGAAUUGCAGAGCACAGCGGCAUCACCAGAAUGAGCCACAAUGAAUACAUAGUCCAGGCAGACACUGCCUGCCAGACCCACCACCCAGAUGCAGCAUCUCAGGUGAUACAUAGAAAACUUUCAUGAUCGGAAAUCACAGACCAAGACCAAUAAGGAUAAAAAGCAGC